GAUACGUGAGUGUACUGGUUAAAUUGCAGACAUAUUGGCCCAGAACCUUUAAUCGAGCCGGAAAAGAGGCUGCUGUAUGUUUGCUCCUCUAUAAUUUUGCGGGGGCGGUCACCCCCAUGCGGAAAGCCACUGCCAUCACAGGGUGGUUAGUUGUGUAGGCCCUUAGCCGCGAGGUGCAAGCAUGUCCGUGGAAAGGCUAGAAAUUAAUA
rnacentral:lncRNA from 1 species